rnacentral:rRNA from 1 species
CCUACGGGUGGCAGCAGUGAGGAAUAUUGGUCAAUGGGCGGGAGCCUGAACCAGCCAAGCCGCGUGAGGGAAGAAGGUACAGCGUAUCGUAAACCUCUUUUGUCAGGGAACAAAGGCGGGGACUAGUCCCCGGAUGAGGGUACCUGAAGAAAAAGCAUCGGCUAACUCCGUGCCAGCAGCCGCGGUAAUACGGAGGAUGCGAGCGUUAUCCGGAUUUAUUGGGUUUAAAGGGUGCGCAGGCGGCCUGUUAAGUCAGCGGUGAAAGCCCGGGGCUCAACCCCGGGCAGGCCUUUAAACUGGGCGGGCUGGAGUUGAGGAGAGGUAGGCGGAAUGCGCGGUGUGGCGGUGAAAUGCUUAGAUAUCGCGAAGAACCCCGAUUGCGAAGGCAGCGUACCGGCUCCACACUGACGCUGAGGCACGAAAGCGUGGGUAUCGAACAGGAUUAGAUACCCUAGUAGUC